AUGGGCACAAAUACAGAGGAAAUGAGAGGUUCACGUCUGAGCACAACUCCGGUGUCACAAAUUCAAUGUUGUGGACAAUUGCAGAUGAAGAGGAAUGUGACACCUCUUUGAUCAGAAGAGCAACAGAUACUUUGAGGACAUCAGGAGGGAAUCUAAGUUAUC